AUUGAACGCUGGCGGCAGGCCUAACACAUGCAAGUCGAGCGAGCGGCGGACGGGUGAGUACUGUAUGGGGACUGCCCGAUAGAGGGGGAUAACUACUGGAAACGGUGGCUAAUACCGCAUACUGUCGGAAAACCCAUAUGGGAUUAGCUAGUAGGUAAGGUAAUGGCUUAACUAGGCGACGAACCCUAGCUGGUCUGAGAGGAUGAUCAGCCACACUGUGACUGAGACACGGCCCAGACUCCUACGGAGGCAGCAGUGGGGAAUAUUGCACAAUGGGCGCAAUCCUGAUGCAGCCAUGCCGCGUGUAUGAAGAAGGACCUAGGGUUGUAAAGUACUUUCAGUCGGGAGGCGUUACCGACAGAAGAAGCACCGGCUAACGCCGUGCCAGCAGCCGCGGUAAUAC
rnacentral:rRNA from 1 species